UGGGCUCUGGGGUCUAUCGCCUGCAUCAAGGAAAAGGUAUGAUGCCGCCGCCGCCUAUGGGCAUGAUGCCGCCGCCUCCGCCACCUCCCAGUGGGCAGCCCCCGCCUCCUCCCUCUGGUCCUCUUCCUCCAUGGCAGCAGCAGCAGCAGCAGCCUCCACCACCCCCUCCGCCCAGCAGCAGUAUGGCUUCCAGCACCCCCUUGCCAUGGCAGCAAAGUGAGUGAAAUAUUUUGGGCUUGUGGGGGUGGGUGGGUUGUGGGCUGGGACUGAGAGGAACAAGAACCUCAUAAUUUCACGUGGGCUGGAGACACCUUCAGUGAGGAGACUCUGGUCUCUCAGCAAGGGCAGUGGGGUUGAAAGCCAGGCUGCCUGGCCCAAAGGAAUGUCUUGGGGAGGAGAGCUGAUGUUUGGUGUGGUUGUGUUUGGGAGAGAUUUGGGAGGUCUUGGGGGGAGCUUGCUAUUUUAGAUAGCACCAGAAGUCCAGGCUAAGCUGCUGAAUGAGCUGCUGGUUUGGCCAUGACUUGUGAGCAGAGUUAAGAGUGGGAUGGUGCAUGCAUGUUUUGGAGGGGGUUGUGAUUGGGCCUGAGAGACUGCAGAAAUAAGGGAAGUGGGGCCAGUGGGGAGAGAGCAGCUGUGGGCUUGAGGCUGAAUGUGCCGUUCGGUGGUGG
rnacentral:lncRNA from 1 species